UACGUAGGGGGCAAGCGUUGUCCGGAAUCAUUGGGCGUAAAGAGCGCGUAGGCGGUCCGGUAAGUCCGCUCUGAAAGUCCGGGGCUCAACCCCGGGAGGCGGGCGGAUACUGUCGGGCUAGAGUCCGGAAGAGGCGAGUGGAAUUCCUGGUGUAGCGGUGAAAUGCGCAGAUAUCAGGAGGAACACCAAUGGCGAAGGCAGAUCUCUGGGCCGUAACUGACGCUGAGGAGCGAAAGCGUGGGGAGCGAACAGG
rnacentral:rRNA from 1 species